rnacentral:rRNA from 1 species
AGGGUUUGAUCCUGGCUCAGAACGUACGCUGGCGGCACGCCUAAUACAUGCAAGUCGAACGAAGUAGCAAUACUUAGUGGCAGACGGGUGAGUAACAUGUGGGUAUCUUCCCUUUGGUGAGGAAUAACACGAGGAAACUUGUGCUAAUACCUCAUAAGUCUUUACGGAGAAAGCUUUAUGCGCCAUUGGAUGAGCCCGCACUUGAUUAGUUUGUUGGUGGGGUAAUGGCCUACCAAGACAAUGAUCAAUAGCUGAUUUGAGAGGAUGAUCAGCCACAUUGGGACUGAGACACGGCCCAAACUUCUACGGAAGGCAGCAGUAGGGAAUCUUGCACAAUGGAGGAAACUCUGAUGCAGCGAUGCCGCGUGAGUGAAGAAGGCCCUUGGGUUGUAAAGCUCUUUCGUCGGGGAAGAAAAUGACUGUACCCGAAUAAGAAGGUCCGGCUAACUUCGUGCCAGCAGCCGCGGUAAUACGAAGGGACCUAGCGUAGUUCGGAAUUACUGGGCUUAAAGAGUUCGUAGGUGGUUAAAAAAGUUGGUGGUGAAAUCCCAGAGCUUAACUCUGGAACUGCCAUCAAAACUUUUUAGCUAGAGUAUGAUAGAGGGAAGUAGAAUUUCUAGUGUAGAGGUGAAAUUCGUAGAUAUUAGAAAGAAUACCGAUUGCGAAGGCAGCUUUCUGGAUCAUUACUGACACUG